GCCCUCGUGGUGUAAUGGAUAGCACAAUAGAUUUCGGCUCUAUUAGUCAGGGUUCGAGUCCUUGCGAGGGUACUA
rnacentral:tRNA from 3 species